rnacentral:lncRNA from 2 species
CUCUCCCUCUCCUUCUUCCACCUCGCGCCGCCACCUCCGCCUCCCUCUCGCGCCAUCAUCCUCUCCUCCCUCCUGUCUCACCCUCUCCCUCUCCUUCUUCCGGCGCCGCCACCUCCGCCUCGCGCCGUCCCCAUCCUCGAGCACCGCCGCCUCCGCCUCCGCCACCGCCUUGCUGCCAGUGAGAAGAGACCGGCGCAGGUUGCUGCCAGUGAGAAGAGAUCGGCGCAGGCGAUGCGGCGGUGGGCAACUUCAAGAAGUCGAGUACUGCCAUACCAGGUGUAGGUUAGCUAUUCCAAACUUCCAAUCUUGCUACAGCUAACACAAGGCAUCAACAACCAUUAAGGUAUGCUUUUAUACUUCUAUUCCUCCAUCAUGCAGUUCAACUCUUUACAAGGCAACAAAGAACAAUGUUUUUUAUAGAAAAGAGGCAAGGAUGGACAACAGUCCUGUAAGGUGAGUAUUCAUUCUACAGAACAAUACUGGGAAGAUUGAAAAACUAGCCAGUUGGAUCUAUAAAGAUGUGAUUGAGGUCAUCGAUAUCAAUUUUUGGAAACUAUUAAGGUCGAAAUGUUAUAUGUUGCAGAUGAAUA